CCUACGGGUGGCAGCAGUGAGGAAUAUUGGUCAAUGGGCGCGAGCCUGAACCAGCCAAGUAGCGUGAAGGAUGACUGCCCUACGGGUUGUAAACUUCUUUUAUAAAGGAAUAAAGUGAGGCAAGUGUGCCGUUUUGUAUGUACUUUAUGAAUAAGGAUCGGCUAACUCCGUGCCAGCAGCCGCGGUAAUACGGAGGAUCUGAGCGUUAUCCGGAUUUAUUGGGUUUAAAGGGAGCGUAGAUGGGUUGUUAAGUCAGUUGUGAAAGUUUGCGGCUCAACCGUAAAAUUGCAAUUGAUACGGGCAGUCUUGCGUACAGUUGCGGUAGGCGGACUUCGUUGUGUAGCGGU
rnacentral:rRNA from 1 species